GGUAGCAGAGAAGCUUGCUUCUCUUGAGAGCGGCGGACGGGUGAGUAAAGCCUAGGAAUCUGCCUGGUAGUGGGGGAUAACGUUCGGAAACGGACGCUAAUACCGCAUACGUCCUACGGGAGAAAGCAGGGGACCUUCGGGCCUUGCGCUAUCAGAUGAGCCUAGGUCGGAUUAGCUAGUUGGUGAGGUAAUGGCUCACCAAGGCGACGAUCCGUAACUGGUCUGAGAGGAUGAUCAGUCACACUGGAACUGAGACACGGUCCAGACUCCUACGGGAGGCAGCAGUGGGGAAUAUUGGACAAUGGGCGAAAGCCUGAUCCAGCCAUGCCGCGUGUGUGAAGAAGGUCUUCGGAUUGUAAAGCACUUUAAGUUGGGAGGA
rnacentral:rRNA from 1 species